CCUACGGGGUGCAGCAGUGAGGAAUAUUGGUCAAUGGGCGCGAGCCUGAACCAGCCAAGUCGCGUGAGGGAUGAAGGUCCUAUGGAUUGUAAACUUCUUUUAUAAGGGAAUAAAGUGUGGGACGUGUCCUAUUUUGUAUGUACCUUAUGAAUAAGGAUCGGCUAACUCCGUGCCAGCAGCCGCGGUAAUACGGAGGAUCCGAGCGUUAUCCGGAUUUAUUGGGUUUAAAGGGUGCGUAGGCGGCCUGUUAAGUCAGCGGUGAAAGUCAGUGGCUCAACCAUAGAACUGCCGUUGAAACUGGCGGGCUUGAGUGUGUUGGAGGCAGGCGGAAUGCGUGGUGUAGCGGUGAAAUGCUUAGAUAUCACGCAGAACCCCGAUUGCGAAGGCAGCCUGCCGGGCCAUGACUGACGCUGAGGCGCGAAAGCGUGGGGAUCAAACAGGAUUAGAUACCCUGGUAGUC
rnacentral:rRNA from 1 species